CCCAGGGAUGGAUUUCCCUCCCCCUCUCUCAGCCCAGGUGCAGCUCAGGACCUCCCCCCUCACUUUGGGCUCCCCAAGCCCCCCGAGCUGAGCUGGGAUCACCCCAGGGCCAGCCCACCCCCAGCAGCCCUGCAGGCACCUCCCAGGUCCCCAGUGAACAUCCCCCAGGCCAGGCUAAUUAAAAGGUGAUUAAUGAGCAUCUUCCCCCUGUUUUGGACCCAGGGCUGGGCUUUGCUCUGCUGCCUUUCCCUGGGAUCCAGGAAAGGUGGGGAGGGGGAGAUUUGGGGUUUGGGAGGGGCAGAUUUGGGAGAUGCUGAUUUAGGAUUUGGGAGAUGCUGAUUUGGGAUUUGGGAGAUGCGGAUUUGGGAUUUGGGAGAUGCAGAUUUGGGAUUUGGGAGGGGCAGAUUCAGGAUUUGGGAGAUGCAGAUUUGGGAUUUGGGAGGGGCAGAUUCAGGAUUUGGGAGAUGCAGAUUUGGGAUUUGGGAGGUGCUGAUUUAGGAUUUGGGAGGGGCAGAUUCAGGAUUUGGGAGAUGCAGAUUUGGGAUUUGGGAGAUGCAGAUUCGGGAUUUGGGAGACGCUGAUUUAGGAUUUGGGAGGGGAAGAUUCAGGGUUUAGGAGGGGCAGAUUCAGGAUUUGGGAGGUGCUGAUUUGGGAGAUGUGGAUUCAGGAUUUGAGACAUGCUGAUUUGGAAUUUGGGAGAUGCAGAUUCAGGAUUUGGGAGAUGCAGAUGUGGGGUGAUUUAGGAUUUGGGAGAUGCAGAUUCAGGAUUUGGAACAUGCUGAUUUGGGAUUUGGGAGAUGCUGAUUUAGGAUUUGGGAGAUGCUGAUUUGGGAUUUGGGAGAUGCAGAUUCAGGAGCAGGAGUGCCAGGACUCAGGGAUACCAGGAUGCCAAGAAGACCAGGAGCCUUCCCUGCCACCAAUUCUGGAAUUCCGUAUUUGGGAGAUGUGCAGAUUUGGGAUUUGGGAGGUGCAAAUUUAGGAUUUGGGAGGGGCAGAUUUGGGAGAUGCAGAUUCAGGAUUUGGGAAGAGCAGAUUUAGGAUUUGGGAGGGGCAGAUUUGGGAGAUGCAGAUUCAGGAUUUGGGAGGGGCAGAUUUAGG
rnacentral:lncRNA from 1 species